CUUGGGCCUGGCUUAACAUGUAACCACUCACAGGAAAACAGUCUGCAAAAUUGUCAUGGGAGCCCAAAUUCCUGAAGCACCAGGUACCUCCAUACGUCCAUACAGUAUUUAUACACAUCGAUAAGACAACCACCACACCUCCCUCCACCCCCCAGCCCUUCACUUCUCCUUGUCUGACAGCUGCUCCAGUCCCUAAUUCUCCAAGUGGCCCUUUCCUGGACUUGUUCUGGGAAGCUUGCUUUUUGAAACCACCGUUGGGCUUUCCAAAUUGCAGUUCUUCAGCAACACCAGCCAGUUUUCUUGCUUUCCUCUGGACAGAGGUGCACCGCAGUGCUCGGAAAGCUGGUAAAAAGGUUAUUCAAGUCCUUAAGAAGAAUUACUACGUCUUCCGUUGACCUGAUAAUUGGUAUAUGGUUGCUGGGGGUAACUGUGCUGGCUGCCAUUCAGGCUCAUGAA